UAUUUUACAACGGGGUGUCUAUCCUUAUUAUUACAAGGAGCGAAGACUGAGAAAAUACCCGCAACCUGAUCUGGAUAAUGCCAGCGUAGGGAUUGUAGCAAAAGGCUUU
rnacentral:ncRNA from 2 species